rnacentral:lncRNA from 1 species
AAAAUAUCCCAGCCCUGGUAAAAUCUAGUCCUUAGAAAUCACUACCCACAGCUAUUUAGCCCCGGAAUAAUAUGCUUGGUAGAACAUACUAAGAAUAAGAUGUGAGGUCUUAAAGAGCUCAAUGGAAAAACAUUGCAAGAUGCAAGAUCGACGACGCUUCAAUUUAUUCACGAAACAACAUAUCACAACUCAUAUCGAAGAGAGUGCACGCCUGUGCAUUAUUCAUGACCACAACCCACUAACCCUCGCAAAAAGAAACCCGACUUAGUAGUAACAGUUCAACUCUUGGCGUGAAAACAGCUACUCACAAGGCAGAGAUCAUCCGCUGGUAAUCGAACGACGCCAUUUUUUAUUUCUUUUGCCAUAGUGGAACGACGAGAUCUUUAAUUAGUUGCCGGUGACCGCGAUGUUCCACUUUGGAUAAAGCACCGUAGUGAUGUACUCCUCCAGCUUGUCGACCCCAGGCCUGCUGCUGGAUCGGCUUGGCGACGCUGAACCGCUCCGCCCACGCAGCUAGUUUCGGCGUCCUCGCCAGGUCGAUGAGCGGCCCCAAGCCGGCCAGGCGGCCUACUGCCUCAAACCAAGGAAGAUAGCACCCGAGCGCGAUGUCGAGGAACCCGAUGGAGCCACCACCGAAGAACGGCGCCUCCACCUCCCCUUUGGAGCACUCUGCCAAGGCAGCUUCCAAGUGUCGGAGCCCGGACAGGGUCUCCUCCACCUUACCGCCUCUCUCCUCCUACUUUGCUGUCUUGAGGAUCCCGGUGCACGAAGGGAAC